rnacentral:rRNA from 1 species
AGUGAAGCGGCAACAGCUCAAAUUUGAAAUCUGGCCUCUUCGGGGUCCGAGUUGUAAUUUGUAGAGGGUGUUUCGGGCGCGAUGCCGGUCUAAGUUCCUUGGAACAGGACGUCGCAGAGGGUGAGAAUCCCGUACGCGACCGGCGAUCAAGCCUGUGUGAAGCCCCUUCGACGAGUCGAGUUGUUUGGGAAUGCAGCUCAAAAUGGGUGGUAAAUUUCAUCUAAAGCUAAAUAUUGGCCAGAGACCGAUAGCGGACAAGUAGAGUGAUCGAAAGAUGAAAAGCACUUUGGAAAGAGAGUCAAACAGUACGUGAAAUUGUUGAAAGGGAAGCGCUUGCAAUCAGACCGGUCCGGAGGCGAUCAGCCGCUGCUCGUUCAGCGGUGCACUCGCCUGCGAUCCGGCCAGCAUCGGUUUGGGCGGUGGGAUAAAAGUUCCGGGAAUGUAGCUUCUCGCGGGGAGUCUUAUAGCCCGGGUCGCAAUGCCGCCCGCCCGGACCGAGGACCGCGCUUCGGCUAGGAUGCUGGCG